GACGUAGGAUGCAAGCGUUAUCCGGAAUUAUUGGGCGUAAAGGGUUCGUAGGUGGUUGACUAAGUUAGAUGUUAAAGCCUUGAGCUCAGCUCAAGUAAUGUAUCUAAAACUGGUCAGCUAGAGACAGGUAGAGGUAGAUGGAAUUCUGUAUGUAGGGGUAAUAUCCGUAGAUAUACAGAGGAACACCAAAAGCGAAGGCAGUCUACUGGACCUGUUCUGACACUCAAGAACGAAAGCGUGGGGAGCAAACGGG
rnacentral:rRNA from 1 species